GAUGAAAACGUAGCGAAAUGCGAUACUUGGUGUGAAUUGCAGAAUCCCGUGAACCAUCGAGUCUUUGAACGCAAGUUGCGCCUCAAGCCAUUAGGUUGAGGGCACGUCUGCCUGGGCGUCACAUAUCGUUGCCUGAUGCCAGUUUCCUCGUGAUGGGUGACUGUGCAGGGCGAAUGAUGGCUUCCCGUGAGCAUUGUUGCCUCAUGGUUGGUUGAAAAUUGAGUCCUUGGUAGGGAGCGCCGUGAUAGAUGGUGGUUGAGUGACGAACGAGACCCAAUCAUGUGAGACCCCUACCGAAUUUGGCCUUCAUGACCCACAUGCGUCUUUGGAACGCUCAUGACGAGACCUCAGGUCAGGCGGGGCUACCCGCUGAGUUUAAGCAUAUCAAUAAGCGGAGGA
rnacentral:misc_RNA from 1 species